rnacentral:lncRNA from 1 species
CUUGUUCUGAUUUACAUUUUCAGGCAAAUUGCAACGGCUGUCGGACCCUGUGGAAACAAUAGAGACUACCUUUUCAAGUUGGAGAAGGCCAUGUUUGAUAUUGGUGAGCCUUUGUUUCUUACACAAAACAUGAUGUGAUGGGAAUGAACCAGUCCAUAUACAUCUUAAAAGUUAGAUCUUCAUUAAUGUACUACACAGAAAUCAAUCUGGGAUUAUGUUUAACAGGUCAUGAGGACAACUACAUAAUAGAGCUGGCAAAUGAAGUGAGGAAAGAGCUUGGAAUUGCUGAAAAAGGAAUUCUCAAGGAGAGGAAGUUGGUUGGGUCAUCAUCCCGCAUGCCGCUCACAAAAUCUCAUAUUCCAACCCUUCAACUGCGUCUGCGCCCUGAGGCGGUUGCCAUGGAUUCAUAAGAACACAAGGCUGACAGACACCUUAGGGCUAGGGGAAUAAUCAAAGAUAUCAAGCAACUUAGCUAACACAAUCGCCAUCGUCUUUGUUUUCUUCUUUUUUUUUUCCCACCUUUUUCCCCACUUUUUAGGAUGAGAACUGAGUGGUUUGGAAUUGAGAGUUGACGGCUAACCAUACAAAAUACAUGUUGUGUAACCAAGUUGAGGUUAAUUUCAAUUUCCGGCCAAAUGAAGAAUCCUUCAUCGUUAUAUUAUUCGCAUUACAGAAGUUGGAUUGUUUGGUUGUAUGUUUGCGUGUUUCGGGUACCGGUAGGGAAGCAGAUUUAUCUUCAUUUUUCAAGUCCUUGAAAUUGGGUUUGAGGCGAUGGCAACAACAGUAGCACUAAUGCCCAACACUCACUAACUAUUCCAUUACCCACAUGCGUGUAGCUUCGAUGAUUGAUGAAUUCUAAUCUUUCCAGUUCAUCUCCACUAAAUUGCCAAUUCGAACUGUUUGCGUUUCAUUUUCUCCAUAACGAACAUAAAUUAAUAAACGCUAGAAUUGUAUAUCACAUUUUGUAAAUAAAUUUACAGGCCUGAAAUUUGGACAUACCAUUUUGUAGACCACCAGGAGAGUCAUAAACUCUUGAACAAACAAAUUAAUUAAGAUAAUUGGAUUAGUUGAAUAAAAUUAUAAAAUUAUGAAAAAUAAAUUACGUGACCCAUGACUAUGAGCAUUUUCAUCUAACCAAAUAUUAGUAUAUCAUAUAAGUUUGUACAAAUUAAUUUGUGGUUUUAACAUAUUGUAACCAAUUAUUCAAACUACAAUAGCACUAACCCCGAAAUUUUAUAGCAUAGUAUGAAUUUUCCAAAAUUUGUAGAAAGUCUUAAAAUAUAUAGAUAUGAGAAUUAGGUGCCUAUUAGAUUCUAGAUUAUUAAAACACCAAACAAAGGUAGAAUCCUUCCCACACUUAAAAAAAUAUUUACUAGACUGGAAUUUUUAGCAGGUGAGGAACUCAAAUUCACUCACUCCCGCCAUAAAGAUAAUGUAAACAAUAUAAAUUUCUUUUGCUUAAUUAUUUAAACUACAGUAAUAAUCUUUUCAUGGCCUUGUGCUGAUCAAGAUUGAUGAUUUAUAAUUGUAAUGUUAGUAGAAUUGUAUGUCAUAUUAGAAGAAAUAUGAUUUAGACUAUAGGAGAUGAAGAAUUGUAAUGUUAGUAUGAACACCGAAUUAUUAUGUUAAAACUUAAAAAAAUGUUAAAUUAUUUAUCAAUUAGGAGCACAAUAAUACAACAAGAGAAAGAGUGAGAGCAAAUAAAGAGUUAUAAUGUCUAGAGAGGAAUUUUAUUCAAUCUCAUGUGUCUACAAAUAAGGAGAUGAGUCCUCCUUUUAUAGUUAUACAACCAUACAAAUGAAGUAAAUGAUUCGUAAAUAAAUACAUCAUUAGUCAUAAGUUCUUAUAAGAUAAUAGGAGUUAUAAAAGAUGAAAAAUUAUUUGAUGGGAAGAUAAAUGGUUACUUUGAUGGACAUCACAUAAAUUAUAAUUGUUUUAUAACAAAAACUCAAAAAACAUCAUUAAUGUCCCUUUUUUUUGUCCUUCCUUAAUUAACAUCGUCAAAUGGGUUCAAUCAAUCAAUCUGUUGGGCCAGCAUGAAGUAGGCCGAUAAAGCGUCUUCCUUAAUCCUUAAACAAACAGAGCCCACAAGAAAAAAAUAAAAAUAAAAAAACUCAACUUGAGGAAGAAGUCAGGACUCAGGACUCAGGAGUGACUAUCGAGGGUUGAUAUAUAUCAAAAUCUAUCGGAAACAGGAGAGAAUUACAAGAAGCAAAAAUUAAAAUUAAACUCAAAAUUAAAAUUGUUAAGGGCAUUUAGAAAUUGUGGUAAGUGAGUGUUUUAGAGGAAAGAUGGAUCUGAAGAUGGAAGAUUUUAACGCGCCACACUCGAUGGGUACUACUAUCAUCGGCGUCACCUACAACGGCGGCGUUGUCCUCGGCGCCGAUUCUCGUACUAGCACCGGUAUUUGUCUUCGAUUCAAUUUCAUUAUUUGAGUUUCUCGAUUCAGUAACUUGCUGGUUGUUUUCUUUUUCAUUUUUUUUAUUUUAAUAGGUUAUUGUUUCUAUUUAAAAAUAAUAGUAAAUAUAUAAAGAGCAGAGAUUUCGUGUUAAUUUCUUGAUUAAAAAAAAAAAAAAACUGACAAAUUUUGGUCGCUGUUGUGAUGUGAUGGUAGGGGUGUAUGUUGCUAACCGAGCUUCAGACAAGAUUACGCAGCUCACUGAUAAUGUCUACCUUUGCCGCUCGGGAUCGGUAACUGAUCUCGUUCCACAUUGGCUUUACCAUUACAGUUCUUUUAUCUUCAUAAAUUAUGCUUGAUUGAUUGAGAGAGUAUGAACAUUGAUUGUUUGCGUUUGCUUUUUCAGGCUGCAGAUUCUCAGACUGUCUCCGACUAUGUUCGCUACUUCCUUCAUCAACACACGUCAGUCUAUUUUCUUUUUUUCCUUUUCUUUUUUUCUUUGUUAUUAUUAUUAUAGGCUCUUGCAAACAUUAUGAUGGAGUAAGUUGUCUCUCUUUGCAGGAAUGUCAUAAUUAAUUUAGUAUUUGUGCCUUGUGAUAACUUGUUGUGGAAAUCUCAUAGGUAAAGAUAACUGAAUAGGCAAGAUUGUCGCUAUAGUUAUACUAUUGUGUCUCAUGAUAAUUUGUUCUUGGAACCUAUAUAAUGAUAGCUGAAUAGGGAUUGAUACUGAUCGCUAGAUGGCAAGUAUGGAUUGCUUUACAACUGUUGUUGAUAUUGUUUUGGCUUUGGUAUUUCGUUAUGAAUUGUUUCCACCUCUUGUUGUUUUUUUGCAUUUGCAUUAGAUUUGUGUAUAUGGUGAAGAUUGGAGAGUUCUGCUUUAUUUGAUAGUUGUUUAUAAGCACUAUGACUUUAUUAACUCAUCAUAGAGCUUCAGUUACCCAGUUCCAAGUUCUUUAUGUAUUUGAACCUUCUUGUUCAUCAAGCGAUUUCACUUACAGGAUACAGCUAGGGCAGCCUGCAACUGUUAAAGUUGCUGCCAAUCUUGUCAGGCUGCUAUCCUACAAUAACAAGGUUUGAUUUUACUGUUCUGGCUUGCUUAAUCUGCUUCCUUGUUUUUUGAAAACUGCUAAGUUGAAGAAAAAGAAAACUUUGCUUGCCUGUUAGAUAUUUUUCCCCUUUGAAUGCUUAUCAGUAAAUCAGACUCUGUUUAUGCUUGACUUACUCAGAGUUAUCUGGACUUGACAGAACUUUUUGCAAACUGGAAUGAUUGUUGGCGGUUGGGACAAGUAUGAAGGUGGUAAAAUAUAUGGAGUUCCUCUUGGAGGAACAAUAAUUGAGCAGCCUUUUGCAAUUGGAGGUAUGCUGUUCCUUGGGUCGUUUAAUUAAAGAAACUGUAGACUUGGACAUCCAAUUCUUGUUUUGAUAAUGACAUGUUCCGGACCUUGAUUUCCUUAGGAUACAUACAUUGCAGUGUUGUCGUGUCUUUUUCUAUUUUUUUUAAUUUAGCUGUAUGAUUGUACCCAGACCUUCAUAUUUUAUCUCUUGAUUUUGUAAAGCUGAUCUUGAAUUUGUGUUUCCACUGACUUGUGCGCAUUGUGUUUUAGUUUACUAGUUCUUUCUAGUCCUUGUGGGUGUCUAUAUGGUUUUGUAAAGCAUUACUUUGGUAUAACUUUCUUCUUUUAUACUAUGUUGCAACAUAGUUGUUUAAUACAAUGAUCAUUUAAUAUUGCUUUUGUAAGAGCAGUGUGUGCGUCAAGUUUAACUCGGUUUGCACCUUGCAGGAUCUGGCUCAAGUUACCUGUAUGGGUUUUUUGAUCAGGCAUGGAAAGAGGGAAUGACUGAGGAAGAAGCUGAGGUAUGUUGGUGAUCUUGAUAUUUGCAAAAACAAAGAUAAGAACUUGCCUUAUAAAACGUUGUUUGUGUACCAUCGUGGACUAUUCCCGGGACAUAAAACCUUCCCAAGCUACAUCUGUAAUCUGCCAACAACUAUGUGAAGAGAAUGUUACAAAGUUAAUACUACAAUCAAACUUAAGCUUUUAGAAACUUCAUUCCGAGUUUAUUUAAUAUUAUUAAUUUCCAAACAUUGGGUUCGGUCGCUGUCAAAGAGUGUCACUGGUACAGUAUUCGUUUAGUUGUUCGUAGUCUUGUGAGGUGAAAGAAUGUUUUUGUGUGCAAAGAUGUGGAACAUGCUUGGUAAUCAUUUUGGUGUUUCUUGCAGCAAUUAGUGGUUAAAGCAGUUUCUCUUGCCAUUGCGCGUGAUGGUGCUAGUGGAGGUGUUGUUCGAACCGUCACAGUAAGAUAUCAUUUGACUAUGACUUAGUAAUUCCUGCUUGCACAUGCGUGAUCAGCAACUGAAAAAUAGUGAGACUGAAACAUUUUGUGUGUUGGUUCUUUACUGUUGCAGAUUAAUUCUGAAGGAGUGAGCAGAAAGUUCUACCCUGGCGACACACUUCCAUUGUGGCAUGAGGAGUUGGAGCCGCAAAAUUCGUUGCUGGACAUGAUGAAUGUAGCUAGUCCUGAGCCGAUGAACAUGUGAUGAAGAGGAUAUCGCCUUGUACUACUACUUUUCCCCAUAGGGGGUAUUCAUCUUUAUCUUGGAAAGGCACUGAUGUAUCAGCAGCAGGAUAUUCUCAUGUUUUUUUUUUUUUUAAUUUAAUUCUUGGAAGAGCUACAAAUAUAAUGGUGUUUGGAGGAUGAUAUUUUAUUUGAUGAUGCCAUUUCUGCAGAGUUUAGAAGUUGAAACCUUAGAACACUAGUUGUAGUGAUUAUCUGUUGAUAUAUGUUAGUUAUUUCAGGAGAAUUAGAGCCGAUUGUGGUUUAGUCAGACUUAUACCGGUGGGUUUAGGCUAAGCCCGAGAAAAAAUAUUAAAAAAAAAAAAGAAUCUUUUUGGUUAAACAUCAUUGAGAAAUUAUUUUUAUUCAAAAAAUUAUAUCUUAUUUAUUCUGUGCCGGGGGGGAAAGCUAAAUCAUAUUAAUGAAAACUUGGCCUCUAAAAGAAAUAAAAAUAAAAACUUGGAAAAAAAUAAAAACAAACAAACAAACAGGACGAGGACAAGUCAACGUAAGUUAGUUAUGUCCACCAAAAGAAAGAUUCCCGAGAGUGCGAGGCAAGCGAAAGCUGGGAAAAAAAAAAAAAAGAAGAAGUCACUUCUUCUUCUUCAAAUUCAGCUAUAUAGAAAUAAAAAUUGGUUUUUAUUUACAUCAAACAAUCAAUCGAGAGCGACAGUGAAGGGAAAUGGGUUCGGCUUCGGCUUCCGCAGUGAACGUUGUUAAUCACAACCAGAAGCACAACGUGUUUGUGUAUGGCAGUCUGUUAGCAGACGACGUCGUCCGCGUCCUUCUAAAGCGCAUCCCUCAAUCUUCUUCCGCCAUCCUCCCGGGCUAGUCCGUUCUCUAAAUUUCUUUAACCUUUUAAUUUUUUUUUUCAAAUUAAAAACAGAAAAAGAAAUUAAAUAACUUUUUUUUUUUUUUUUUUCUGUUGAGUGAGUGAUUGUUGAUGGGAUUUUCCGAUUUCGUUCGAUUCAAUAUUCAUAUUUCAUACAUACAUAAUAAUUUAAUUGGGUGGUAAUUAAUUCGUAAUUGGGUUGCAGUCGCAGGUUUAGC